CUCGUAGGUGGCCAACUAAGUCGGACGUGAAAUCCCUCGGCUUAACCGGGGAACUGCGUCCGAUACUGGUUGGCUUGAGUUUGGGAGAGGGAUGCGGAAUUCCAGGUGUAGCGGUGAAAUGCGUAGAUAUCUGGAGGAACACCGGUGGCGAAGGCGGCAUCCUGGACCAAUACUGACGCUGAGGAGCGAAAGUCAGGGGAGCAAACG
rnacentral:rRNA from 1 species